UACGGAAGGCAGCAGUGGGGAAUAUUGCACAAUGGGCGAAAGCCUGAUGCAGCUAUGCCGCGUGUAUGAAGAAGGCCUUAGGGUUGUAAAGUACUUUCAUCGGGGAGGAAAAAACAAAACUAAUAAUUUUAUUUCUUGACGUUACCCGAAAAAGAAGCACCGGCUAACUCCGUGCCAGCAGCCGCGGUAAUACGGAGGGUGCUAGCGUUAAUCAGAAUUACUGGGCGUAAAGAGCACGUAGGUGGUUUUUUUAAGUCAGAUGUGAAAUCCCUGGGCUUAACCUAGGAACUGCAUUUUGAAACUGAAAUACUAGAGUAUCGUAGAGGGAGGUAGAAUUCUAGGUGUAGCGGUGAAAUGCGUAGAUAUCUGGAGGAAUACCUGUGGCGAAAGCGGCCUCCUAAACGAAUACUGACACUGAGGUGCGAAAAGCGUGGGGAGCGAAAACAGGGAUUAGAUACC
rnacentral:rRNA from 1 species